rnacentral:snRNA from 2 species
AUCGCUUCUCGGCCUUUUGGCUAAGAUCAAGUGUAGUAUCUGUUCUUAUCAGUUUAAUAUCUGAUACGUCCUCUAUCCGAGGACAAUAUAUUAAGUGGAUUUUUGGAGCAGGGAGAUGGAAUAGGAGCUUGCUCCGUCCACUCCGCGCAUCGACCUGGUAUUGCAGUACCUCCAGGAACGGUGCACCCCCU